rnacentral:lncRNA from 1 species
AACUUGAUCUGACCAAAAAGAUCUCCAGGUUUCCUGGGAGAAAAUGGCUUUGUAAAUUGUGAUACCUCCAAUGAGUUCUUCAAGGGUUAAGGUUUUGCAUUGGGACAAUGACCACCCACCUCAAAGAAGGUCACAAAUCCUUAUAACUUAAUUGUCUUCAAGAGUUUCUGUAACCAACAACUCCAUUACCAUGUUCCUGACCUGGAAGUGAGUCUCUCCAAACUCAGGUGUGGGGACAAUAACAACCCUAGAGAUCAGAUUAGGACUCAGGGAGAUGGAGCUGAGCCUUGAUGGAAUCUCAGGACUAUAAGAACUGUAAUAUGGGAAGAAAUACACUUUCGGCAUGAGGAACAGCCUGUUCAAAGUCACGAUGACAGGAGAAGCAGCGUGGUGUGGAAAGAUCACAGGAUUUGGAGCCAGAAAGCCCCAGGUUUGAAUCUUGCCUCUGCUACUUGCUACCUAAAUAGCCACAAGCCACCUCUCUGGAACUCUGCUUCAUUCCUUUCAAAAUAAAGGGAUUGAACUAGAUGAUGGUGUGGAAAUUUAAUACUAC